GGCCCCGUGGCGAAACAGGUAGACGCAGCAGACUUAAAAUCUGCUAUCUGGAAACGGGUGUGCCGGUUCGACUCCGGCCGGGGCCACCA
rnacentral:tRNA from 2 species